UUUUAGUAGAGAUGGGGUUUUGCCAUGUUGGUCUUGAACUCCUGACCUCAGGUGAUCCAAUCACCUCGACCUCCCAGAGUGCUGGGAUUACAGGCGUGAGCCACCUCACCUGGCCUGAUGUAGUUUAGAAUAAUCUUUAGUUGUGUCCGAUAUGUAGUUUUACCUAUCAAACUAGUUUUAAUGGUUGGUACUUUUUUAUUUUUAACUUCUCUAAGUUCAUCUGUCUUCAGAUUGGAUCUUUGGAAAGGGAGGGGCAGAAUUUUGGAAGGUAGCAUUUCUCUUGGAUGAGUAGAAAAGAGGCCAGGCACGGUGGCUUACGCCUGUAACCCCUGCACUUUGGGAUGCCAAGGCGGGUGGAUCACCUGAGGUUAGGAGUUCAAGACCAGCCUGGCCAACAUGAUGAAACCCUGAGAUCGCACCACUGCACUCCAGCCUGGGCGACAAAGUGAGACUGUGUCUCAGACAAAAAAAAAAAAAGAAAAGAAAAUGAAUUUCACUAAUUAACAGUUACUGGCUUUAUUUCAGGUGAGCUGUCGUGGGGGAAUUUGUCUGGCUUUGAGAUAUAAGGGCAAAAGAUGACUGGAAAAUUGCUCUGGGUUCUUCUUAUAUAACAUCAUAUAAGACCUGUUCACAUAAAAUCUGGUGAGUUGAUUUAGUUUGUUUUCUGACAUUGUUGGCUUCUUUAAGCUUGCUUAUAAAUUAAGGCUUGCAGUUUGAGUCAUUCGGAGAUGGGGAAUGCCCAGAACUUUCGCAUCUUGUGAACUUGAGUUGAAUAAUGUGUCUCUUUCCUCAUAGUCUGUCAACUGUAGUUCAUUGUAGCCACAAAGAAGAUGAUGAUGCCAAUGAGGAUAUACUAAACCAGACAAGAGGUGGCCUACUGUAUAUGCUAGGCAUUAGAUUUUUUAGAACUAAACACAACACUGAAUUUGUGAAAAUGUGUGGAGUUUAGAAUAAUUAGAGAAAAUGAUAACCAGUCUCACUCAGACCACAUGGAAAUGAGGGGAGAAUGUGUGUGUGUUGGGAAUGUGUAUCUUCAUCUGUCCCGCUAGUGGAAAGGUUACUGUUUGAAAAAUGUAGUUCCAACACAGCCACUAGUUUGUGCUACUUUAGACAAGUAUUUAAAUCUUUACAAUGGAGAUAUUAUAACAGCAUUCCUUGCCUUGGCACAAGGAUGUUGUUAAGUUGGAAGACUAAGGAUAUGAACGAAUUUUGUGAUGUAUAAAGAAAUCUUGGCCAAGCACAGUGGCUCAUGCCUGUAUUCCCAGCACUUUGGGUGGCCAAAGCAGGAGGAUCACUUAAGGUCAGGAGGUUGAGAUCAACCUGGGCAACAUAGUGAGACCUUGUAUCUAUAGAAAAUUUAAAAAUUAGCUGAAUGUGCUGGCAUGUACCUGUAGUCCCAGCUACUCCAGUCUGGGUGACAAAGCAAGGUCCUGUCUUUAUUAAGAAAGAAAUCAUAUGUGCAUUAUAAAGAUUUUGCCACUCUUAAGAUUGAGUGCAAGGAUGUGUGGUAACACUUCCCAGUUGAUGAAGAAAUUGGACAUUAGAAAAUGAAGGUUUUGCAGCAGUAAUUGAGUUUGAAGUAUUUUCAUAACGCUGUAUUGGAAAGGUGAUAGAGGAAUUGUCUCCUAAAAUGAAGGAAAACAUGAAUACAAAAUGAUGGUAAGAAAGAAAUAAAAGUAUUUGUAAUGGUGCUUUAAAGCUUUAAAAGCUUUAGGGUACUUUUAAAGUAUCUUAAAUAUAUUACCUUACUCAACCAAGAUGUUGUGAAAAUUAAGUGUCAGUCCUGUUUUUUAAAUUUUGAAAUGGAAACUGAGUGACUAAUUAACAUGCCUGAAAUCACAAUGGUGAAUCAUGAAUCUCGAAUUUGAUUCUAGAUUUUUUUGCUCAUUCUGAUGUGUUGCUUAGUCCUGUUACAGUACAGUUGUAGCACAUGGGAAUGGAUGGGACCAUGCAUGGAAGCUGGAGGGUCUAGAGCAGAACUUCAGUGAUGGCAAGUUAAAAUUUUCAUCAUCAGUAUUUGAAGCAGAGAUUGAAAAUGAAUAGCACUUAGGACAGACUAUCAAAUAAAUGUGAACCAGAAGAUUUUUAAUGGGGGAAAUUAACUUUAAUGAAAUAUCUUAUAGAAAGAGCUAAAGACAAGACACCUGCCAAUCCCAGUCACUCUGGAGGGUAUCUAAUAUAGGAAUGAAAAUAAAAACGAGUUAACAUUCUCUAGUGUUUGUCAAGUUUAAAGAGAUUAACUUGAAAAGUAGUAGUUGGGUAGAAGGUUUAUUUGAAGAUCCUUUGGCAUCAUAGCAAAAAAAAGUUGGUGAAAGAUUGGUACUGUAGAAUGAUGGGAGAAAGAUGAUUAUAUUUCCCUUCCAACUUGUCUAGACCACUUAAAAUUUAUAUUACUUUCUCACACAAGCCAAGAUAAAGAUACACUCUUUAAGAAAUUUAGGAGACUCUUCAUAUAUCCGUUCAUAGAUAGAAUGUGGUUUUGAAAAUAAAUGGGAUAUUAUCUAAAUAUAGAUCCAUAUAAAAUUUUAUAAUUCUUUUUAAGAAAAGCAUUUGUCAGGAAGUGAAGUCAGACUUUUUAAUGCGGAGAAAUAGGUGAAUGUGGGUUAUAUGAAGUCUUUUUUUUUUUUUUUUAAUUUCAAGACAGGGCCUUACUAUGUUGCCUAGGCUGGAGUUCAGUGGCUAUUCACAGUUGUCAUCAUUGGAUACUACAGCCUCAAACUCCUGGGCUGAAGUGAUCCACCCACCUGACCUCCUGAGUAGCUGGGACUGCAGGUGCAUACCGCUGUACCCUGCUAGGAAUCUUGUAAGAACAAUUGUAUGGUUAUGAGGUGUAUGAGGAUAGAGAUAUUUUUUUGUCCUGGUGAUUAUUUCUUCUUGUAGAAUAAUCCUAGUGAUUUUUCCUUCUUGUAGAAACUUAAAGGCUUGAGAUUAAACUUAUUAGGAAAAAUAACUUUGGCUUUAUUUUGUAGUGAUUUAUUAAUGGCUUUAUUUUAUAGUGAUAUAUUAAUAAUGUAUUAAAAUAGCUAGUAUUUUCCACUUACAGAGUAUUAUUUCAAAAUUUUAAGCCACGUAGAUAGGUUAUUAUUUGGUGCUACAUCCACCAUUACUGCAGUUGAUUUCCAGCAGUUUGAAAAAAGACUUUUCAGAAAUGACUUUCACUUGUUACUCAAUGGCUUACGGUAGCGGUCCCCAACCUUUUUGGCAAGAGGAGUGGUUUCAUGGAAGACAGAUUUUCCACAGACUGGCAGGAGAUGUGUGGAGGAAUGGUUUCGGGAUGAAACUGUUCCACUUCAGGUCAUCAGGCAUUAGAUUCUCAUAAGGAGUGCACAACCUAGAUCUCUUGCAUGUGCAAUUCACAAUAGGGUCCGCGCUCCUAUGAGAGUCUAAUGCCCCCGCUGAUCUGGAGCUCAGGCAGAAAUGCUUGCUAGCUCACCAGCCACUUUGUGGCCCAGUUCCUAACAAGUCACAAACCAGUAACGGUCCACAGCCUGGGGGUUGGGAGCUCCUGGCUUUAUAGGGUCUUCAGAUGCUUACUAGCCACAGGUAUGUCACUUAAUCAGAUGUAAUAAAUGGCUGGUGUAAUUUUGACUCACUUAAAGUGAAGAGAUUGUUUUAAUUGUGAAGCAUGUGAAUAAAUAAAUGAGAUUUCUGCUGUCUCUAGUACUAUAUACGUAAAACUGGAGGCUUUGCAAAAUUACCAAGAGACAGUCCUGUUUGAUGUGUCUUUGGUUUGGCACGGGUGGAGCAGACAUGUGAGAUAUAGCAUGAAUGGGAGGCCUUCACACUUACUCACUAUGUGGAGGGUGGUAGUUGAUCAUGAUGGUCAGUUCCAUAGUCCUCCAGGCCACUGGUGACAUACUACCAUUGUUGCCAUAAUUCUCAAAAGUCGUUUUAUGUGGGGCUCCUUCCUAGCAACCUCCCCUAAACACAUAGCUCCAUCCCUCCCAUGAGCUAAGAAAUUCUUAGCACUUGCCACCGUCUGACAUAUAUUUGUUCAUUUGUGUACUGAUUACAUUCCUCCCAUUAGUAUAUAAGCUCCAUGAUGAUAAUAGAAACUUUGUCCACUAUUGUAUAUUUCUAACUCCUAAGACACUAUUGGCAUAUUAUAGUAUGCAGUUAAUACGAGAAUAAAUGGGAUUUCUGUUUUUUCUUACUGAGGUUUGCAAAGCUUCAUGAAGGUGGAAUAUAAAGAUUCUCAUUUUUCUAUGUGCAUUGGGGACAUGGAACGGAACUUGUGUUUUCUGAGUGAGGGAGACUCUGGCAGAGAGUCUAACUGCAAUCCAUUAUUCCCUGUGACUGGGCAGAAUUUAAACAUUUUAAGAGAAGAUAUGAAAAAAAUCUUCUGAAUUCCUACUUUAUUUUUAGACAUGGGUUUGGCUAUUAACGAAUAACUUUAACCUACCUACAGGGAAGGCUUUUUCCCUGUUACCCUUCUCUCUCCUGGAUCUUAUGAGUGGAGAAAUGGGCCUUUGUUUCACUUGCAAAUCCACAAAUAUUUAUACUGUCAUGUGAACACAUGUUUAAGGCACUGUGUCACACAUUGUGGAAGUUACAAAGAGACAGGAUUCCUGAGAAUUUAACGAAGUUGAGAAUGAGUAUUAUUGAUUAAAACAAAAAUGGGACAUUUAGGUUACAGUUGAGACCGUGUUUUGUUUUUUGAAUGUGAAAUGUUUUUGGACACAGGUGAAAAAUUCUAAUGUCUCUAACUCCCCCAGAAAACCUUAGAUUGAUUUUUCUGAGAAGUUCAUGAAUGAUUUGCAUAGAGAUUUUCUUUGAGGUUAAGAAAUUAGAUGAGUUUCCCAGGGUGAAAAAAACAGGAGCAGAGAUUAUUGUUAAAAAAUGGUCAUGGGUAGAGGGGUUAGAGGACAAAGUAGGCAGAAUAGAAGCGCGUUUGUGUUUUAAGGAGGCUGAGAAAGAACCAGAAUAUAGCACUCAUAAAAGGAAAAUGCAGAUGCACUGUGAAUAGCUGCUACUGGUAGUGUAUUAAUUUCUUAGCUACAUGUAAACUUUUAUUAGGGUGCUUAUAACUGAGGUGAUGUGUAAUAUGUUAUCCAAAGUUGGGUGAUCUCUUUUAAGAGUGAGAGGGUGUACUAUCCAAAUGGGACACUGGGACAACGGGUAUGAACCAGGACUGUUAUAGCAAAACCAGGAUGGUUGGUCAUUCCUAACUAAUAACGUACUUUUCUCCAGACUUAGUCCCAAUUCCUUUAACCUCCUCAGAUAAUGUUUUUUCGUUUAUAGUACUCUGAUCUGCACUUGCAGAGCCUCUCAAUUGUUGGUUUCUUUUUCCCUGCCUUGUUGGAAAGAAAGGAGAAUUUUUCUGCCCCCACCCUGGACCCUGCUUGGGUUCACAGCAUUGGUGGAGGUAAGUAGUACUCACAGUGUGUUAUUAGUUGACUUUUGUUUUGCUUAGGAAAUGAGGUUUCUGUAUUUUUCUGAUCCAGUACUAGAUUUUUGUUUGUGUUUUGAGAGUCCUGAUUAUAUUUAACUGGGCUAAUGAACUAUUAGUUAAGUUCUUAGCAUGUAAUACAAAAAAGUGUUUGUAAUUUUGGCAUUUGUUCUUAAAUUACUUGAUACUUAAUAUGUUUUCUUUCUUAUAGGUGGGGUUGUCAUUGUGAAACUUAAGAUCUUCAAAGAAGAGAAUGUAAUUUAUACCAUGGAUAUGUUAUUUUUUCAUGUUGGAGCACUGUAAUGCUUUCGUUUUGCUUUCUCAUUCAGUUUAAAUAAAAUUUUUAAUUCUUA